rnacentral:rRNA from 1 species
AAAAGCUCGUAGUUGGAUCUCAGCUCCGGCCGGACGGUCCGCCUACCGGUGGUUACUGUUCGUCGCCGAGCGUUCAGGCGGUUAUUCUUGAUGAUCUUCACCGGUUGUCUCGGGUGACCGCCAAGUUUACUUUGAAAAAAUUAGAGUGCUCAAAGCAGGCGCGACGCCUGAAUAAUUGUGCAUGGAAUAAUGGAAUAGGACCUCGGUUCUAUUUUGUUGGUUUUCGGAACACGAGGUAAUGAUUAAGAGGGACAGACGGGGGCAUUCGUAUUGCGACGCUAGAGGUGAAAUUCUUGGACCGUCGCAAGACGAACUACUGCGAAAGCAUUUGCCAAGAAUGUUUCCAUUAAUCAAGAACGAAAGUUAGAGGUUCGAAGGCGAUCAGAUACCGCCCUAGUUCUAACCAUAAACGAUGUCAGCCAGCAAUCCGCCUGUGUUCCUCAAAUGACACGGCGGGCGGCUUCCGGGAAACCAAAGCUUUUGGGUUCCGGGGGAAGUAUGGUUGCAAAGCUGAAACUUAAAGGAAUUGACGGAAGGGCACCACCAGAAAUGGAGCCUGCGGCUUAAUUUGACUCAACACGGGGAAACUUACCCGGCCCGGACACAGGAAGGAUUGACAGAUUAAGAGCUCUUUCUUGAUUCUGUGGGUGGUGGUGCAUGGCCGUUCUUAGUUGGUGGGGUGACUUGUCUGGUUAAUUCCGAUAACGAACGAGACUCUAGCCUACUAAAUAGACGUUCCGAUCCUCUUUCGUCGGACGUUCUUCUUAGAGGGACAAGCGGCGUUUAGCCGCACGAGACAGAGCAAUAACAGGUCUGGGAUGCCCUUAGAUGUCCGGGGCCGCACGCGCGCUACAUUGAAGGAAUCAGCGUGUGCUUUCCCUGUCCGACAGGACUGGGUAACCCGUUGAACCUCCUUCGUGCUGGGGAUUGGAGAUUGUAAUUGUCCUCCAUGAACGAGGAAUUCCCAGUAAGCACGAGUCAUCAGCUCGUGUUGAUUACGUCCCUGCCCUUUGUCCACACCGCCCGUCGCUACUACCGAUUGAAUGAUUUAGUGAGGUCUUCGGACUGGCGCUCGGAUUGGCCUUCGCGGUCGAGCCGGUGUGCCGGAAAGAUGACCAAACUUGAUCAUUUAGAGGAAGUAAAAGUCGUAACAAGGUUUUC